UUUCGGGUUUCGAAGCAAAACAGUUAACAUAGUCAGCUCGCGUAUGCAGUUUUUGCAACUUAAAAAACACAACACCUCCGCAAAAAAGCUGCAUAUAACUUCAUCAAUGUGGUUCAAUCAGGCACAUGGAACAAAAAACCAGCUGAAUUCUUUUGGUGCCUGGCAAAAGUUCUAUCCAUCAAUCUUGGCCAAAGAAGUAUAAUUGCAGCUGCACGAAAAAAUGAAUAGCAUUUCAUGAUCAGAAUGAUGCAUGCCUGAAUUAUUUGUUAAUGAAUCAGUCACAGGACCUAUGUGUGUGUGUAUCUAAAUGCAUUGGUAAAAAAUACAUGAAAAUAAUGUACUGAUAGUUCUGGCUGAAGCUGUAUUAAACAUUAAAAUGUAAGCCAUAUAUGUAAAUGUAAGCUCCCACAAAAACCUUAAUAAUUUAUCAAAGUUAAAAAAGUGUAUGGUAAACUUUAUAGAAUUUCAUUAAAAUAAUCAGAUGAGAGAAAUUUUUGCGUUCACUCUCUAAA